UUUGUAUGGAGACUAGAAUUGAUUUCCAAUAGUUUAAGUAAAUUUUUAGAGAAAUUCAAUAGUUCAAAAAAGAGAUAUUGGCAUAGGAAGUUUAAUAUUUAUAUUAGAAUAUGAAGUUGGCCAACAUCAAAGCAAAUUUUAGGAUUUUUCUUCUAUUUGGUAAGUAGGAUUAUCUUAAAAUUUUUUGUACUUGUUUUAAUAAAGAGAUUGAAAGGUGUGUAAAUUUUUAAGUAAGCUCAAUAGUUUAAUCAAUAUAUAUUCGAUAUCUAAUCUACCUUAGAAUUGAUUUGAGUUGAAGAAGUUUUGAUUAAGAUUUGAUUUAGGAUUUAGGAUUUAGGAUUUAAGCAUGUAAAUAGAAGUAAGAAUAAAGCCUUUUUUACUCUUAUUAAUGCAAAAUUAGCCAUUAGUCUUAUUUCAAGACUUUUUAGUCUUCUGGUCUUUAACAAUUGCAAUUAUGGUUCAAUAUAUUAACAUCUUUAAGUAAUUUUUUAGACUUUUUAAGUAAAAAA
rnacentral:lncRNA from 1 species